UCAUUAAUUUUUGAGAUUUUUCAUAUCAUAUGGCUGAAGAACACUAAACUUUUAGUCUACUAACUUUGAUAACAAAGUGUCAAACCCUAGAACUGAAGUUGUAGUCUGGUGGGAAAUUAAUGGAGUCUUAGCCACAGUGGGGGAGCAACCCCAGGCAAUGUUCUGGAAUCUUGGGAGAGCAAGAGUUUCUGUCAGAGAGAGACAGUUAGCUCUCUCAAUUCUGAAACAGCCUAAGAAGAGGUCUGGUCAAGACUUGCUCCUGAGGAAAGACGUACAUCUUCUACUGGCUCCUUCCUGUUCAUCACUGAAAAGUCGGAAUACGUUCAGUACUGGAAGUGGAGGUAUAAUACAAUGCAUUGUUAUCCAUUUUGGAAGCUAUAAUUAUGUUAGUGAUGGCUAGUGCUUCUCUUGGCUUUGGAACUAUGACCAGAAUCCCUGCUCCUUUGUGAUUGACUACCAGCUCUUCUCUCAAACCUGCAACUAUAGUCUUGAACCCCAUAUGUGGCCAUUAGUAAGCUUCUCUCUUAGGGGAAGGAUUACAGCUGGUCUUCCUGGUCAAUGGAGUAAAGUUUCCUAGAAUUCUCCCUCUCAGCCAUGAACAAUGAAGCUUUUUCUCUCAACUGGGACAUGCAAGAAGUUAAUGGAAGACAAGGUAAAACCAGGUUUGCACUUAAAACUCUAUCUUCUCUUUAAUUUUUUUCUAGACUUAUUUUUUUUAAUUAACUGCCUUCUGUGCCAUUUCCUCUUGCUUCCUCAGUUUAAAAGAAACUCAUUUGAGUUCUUGUAUCACAUAAUAUCAUUUAGCUCAAUUAGUAUCUCCAGGACCCAACUUCCUCAGGUAAAAGAGGAGCUAAGGGAUAUUUUAACAAGUAAAAUAUUUUAAUUGAGUUCUGCAAUGAUUCUAUUCUGUGCAAAUAACAAUGUCUGAAUAAAGAAGACUGACAGAUAUACUAAUCUUUCUCACUGUUCUUAGCAAGAUAUGAAAGACUGCUCUCUCUGAAGUGUCUCUUUUUGUUUCCUCUGAGCUUUAUUUCUUUCCUUCCUCUUCUCUUCUUAUCUUGUAGUGGUAGAUAAAAAACAGGAUUUGGACUCAUUAAUAUAUGGGUUAAAAUGCAUUCCAGAUAUUAGUCACCUUGGGCAAGUCAUUUGUGACUUCCUUUUCUGUUUUUAAGUUUCUUCAUCUUUAAAAUUAAAAGGUAAAACUAAACACCCUCUAAGUUCCCUAUCAGAUCUAAAACUUAUUUUCUUAAUGUCUAACAUUGUAAAUUUGCAUGUAAAUAUGCAAACAAAAAUACAUAUAUGUUACUAUAUACUAUGUAUGUGUCUAUGUAUCUGUAAAUACACAAACAUGUAUGUCAAUGAAUAUCCCUUUGUUCAUAAAAAGGACAUUGCUAUGUUUUUAGUUUAUGAAAACAAUGGCAAUUGCUUAUACUCAUAAGUAAUCAUGGGAAGGAAGAGCAGUGAUUAAAAAAAAUCUCUAAACUACCAGAAUAGUAAUAUAGGAAUCACAGAAUUUAAGAAAAGAAAUGGAUUUUUAGAGAUAAUUUUUUUAUGAAACUGAUGCUAGAAAUUAGAUUAAUAAAUAAUAGGAGGAGAAAAAUUAUAUUUAACAUAUCAGUUUAUGUUUUGUUUUUACUUUUUGAGAUUUUUAUAUCCAGUACCAAGUACUGGAAAUUCUUAGGAGAGACCUAGGUUUGAAUACUGUCGUGAGAUAUGAACUUUGUGACUCUGUAAAAAUAGUUUAAUUUGGGGGGACUUCAGUUUUCUCACCUGUAAAAGGAAAGGAUUAGAUUGAAUGACCUUUAACAUCCCUGCCAGUUCUAAAUCUAUGAUUCUAUAACAUUAGGAAUUAUAUUUUCCACUGAUUCUCAUUUUUUUUAUCACCUACUCCUCCAGCAGUCUUGUGAAACCUACAGAUCCUUUCUCAGAAAAAUAGUUUUAAGCCAAUGAAAUAAAAUAGAUCAAAGAAACCAACUAUAUUAGAAUAUAACUAUCAACUUAAUAAAACAAACAAAAAAUAUUCAUGGACCUAAAGUUAAGAAUGGCUGUUCCACACUACCCCACUCAUUUAAUAGUCGAAGAAAGAGAAGGCCAAGAAGAUUAAAUAACUUUCCCAAUGAUUGAGGAGUGGCAGAAUCAAAGUUAAAAUUUGUUUGAAAAAAGGGGUAGGAAGGUAAUUCUUUUUUAAAUGAGAGAUUCCUCAGAUCCUGACACAGAAAAGGACUUAGGGUGAGGAACAAUUGUACUCAAGUGAUUAGCCUGAAUGAAGGUCAGAUGAGAAAGCUUGCCAUUUCAUCAUAAUCCUUGAAUGCAGAGAUAUAAAUUUUAAUAUUUUCUUAGUAAAAUGACUGUAUUAUUUGAUAGUCCUAUUCCCAAUAUGAAUGCUACAGGGUACCUCUCAAAAUGUUCUUUUUUUUCCCUAACUACUUAGAAGUCAUGAAGAAAGGGAUUGAGGUACAAUUCACAAUCAGGUCAGUAUUACUUAAACUUGUCUUCUGCCAUCUUCUUUCCCUUUCCAGAGAUUUUCAAAAAACUAAUAGUUGAAUAACCAAAAAGGAACUUGACUUUGACAGAGAUUUUUUUUCCUUCCUUCAUACCAAUUUUAUUUAAUAUAUAUAAGAAUAGAACAAUCCCAUUUAAACUCACAAAUGAAAUCUCUCCAUUUUUUAUCACACAAAAGGUAAUCUUUCCUUUUAAGUGAAUAGUGCUAUAAAUUCAGAAUAAAUGUUUUAAUUCAUUUUUUUUUAUUUUUCAUGUGAACUAUUUUCUUUUUCUUUGUUUCAUUUUUUAAUUGUCAUGCAAAACAUACUUCCAUAUUUGUCAUUAUUCUAAUAGCAAAGUCAUACAUAACCAACCAAAACCUCAAAAUAAAAAUUCUUUCUCUGGAGGUGGAUAGCAUUCCCUGUAAUAAAUCUUUCAGACUCUCCCAGAUCAUUGCCUUGCCUAGAGUAGACAAGUUUUCACAGAUAAUCAAUCAUACAAAAUUUCAAUUAUUGAUACAAUUGGAUACAUCUUGCUAAUCAUUUCUCCUCAAUUUCUAAUUCUCUAUCAAUGCGAAAUGAAUAGCUAUAAAUAUUUUUUUUAAAAUAAGUAGGCCCCUUUCCCUUUUUUAUUAUCUCUUUGGGAUUCAGACUCAGUUGUGGUAUUACUGGAUCCAAGGGUAUGGACAGUUUUAUCAUCCCUUUGAUUAUAGUUCCAAAUUACCCUCCUGAAUGGUUGGAUUAGUUCACAACUCCACCAAUAAUGCAGGGGUCCCAAUUUUGCCACAUUCCCUUCAACAUUUACCACUUUCCUUUACAGCUAUAAUGGCCAACCUGAUAGGUAGGAAGUGGUACUUCAGUGUUGUUUUAAUUUGCAUUUCUCUAAACUAGAGUGAUUUAAAACAUUUUUUCAUAUGAUUAUUGAUGGCUUUGAUUUCUUCAUCUGAAAAUUGCUUGUUCGUAUCCUUUGACCAUUUGUCAAUUGGGGAAUGGUCUGUAUCUUGUAAAUUUGACUUAGUUCUUUAUAAAUUUGAGAAAUUAGAUCUUUUAAAAAGACAUCUCUUAUAAUUCCUCUCCCCACCCCCAGUUUGUAGUUUCCCUUCUAAUCUUGGUUAGAUUAGUUUUGUUUAUACAGAAGCUUUUUAUUUUAAUAUGAUCAAAAUUAUUCAGUUUAUAUAUUAUAAUACUCUUUCUUGUUUGGUCAUUAAUUCUUGCUUUUCUCAAUGAUCUACCAGGAAAACUGUUCUAUGUUGCCCUAAUUUAGUUCUGGUAUCACUCUUUAUAUCUAGCUUCUGCCAUACCAUUUUCUAAUUUUCCCACCAGUUUUUGUUAAAGAGUGAGAUCAUAUUCCAAAAGCUGGGAUCUUUGGAUUUUUCAAACACUACAUAGCAAAGAUAAUUAACUGUUGUAUAUGGUGCAUCUAAUCUACUCCAUUGAUCUACCAGUCUAUUCCUUAGUCAUUUCAAGAUUAUUUUCAUGAUUACUGUUUUAUAGUACAGUUUGGAAUCUGCUACUACUAGGCUUCCUUCAUCCACAUUUUUUUUCAUUAGUUCUCUUGAUAUGCAUGACCUUUUGUUCUUCAAGAUGAAUUUUUUAUUAUUUUUCCUAGUUCCAUAAAAUAGGUAUUUGGCAUGUUAAUUGGAAUGGCACUGAAUAAAUGAUUUAAUUUAGGUAGAAUUGCAUUUUUAUUAUAUUACUUUGUCCUAUCCAAGAACAAUGAAUAUUUUCCCAAUUGUUUACCUCUGACACUAUUUGUGUGAAAAGUAUUUUGUAAUUGUAUUCAUAAAACUCCUGUGUUUGCUAUGGAAAAUGGAUUCCCACAUACUUUAUAUUGUUUAUACUAAUUUUAAAUGGAAUUUCUCUUUCUAACACUUGCUGAUGGACUUUGUUGGUAAAUACAUAGAAGUGCAGAUGAUUUGUGUGGGUUUAUUUUGUAUCCUGCAAUUUAAUAGUUAUUAAUGAUUUCAAAUAGUGUUUUAGUUCAUUCUCUGGGAUUCUCUAAGUAUGCCAUCAUAUCAUCAGCAAAGAGUGAUAGUUUAGUUUUCUUAUUGCCUGCUAUAAUUCCUUCAAUUUAUUUUUCUUUCCUUAUUUCUAAAACUAGCAUUUCUAAUACAAUAUUAAAUAAUAGUGGUGAUCUCAUUGGGAAGGCUUCUAACAUCCCCAUUGCAGAUGAUACUUGCUGAAGGCUUCUGGCAUAUACUAUUUAUCAUUUUUAAAGAAAGGUCUUUUUAUACCUCUGCUUUCUAUUAUUUUUUUAGCACAAAUGGGUAUUGUAUUUUGUCAAACACUUUCUCUGCAUCUAUUAAGAUAAUCAUAUGAUUUCUGUUAGUUUGAUUAUUGACAUAGUCAAUUAUUCUGAUAGUUUUCCUAAUAUUAAACUGUCACUACAUUCCUGGCAUAUAUCCCACCUAGUCAUAGUAAAUAAUUCUUGUAAAAUAUUCUACAAUCUCUUUCCUAGUAUUUAACAUAAUAUUUUAAAAUCUAUAUUCAUUAAUGAAAUUGACCUAUAAUUUUCUUUCUCUUUUUUCUUCUUCCUCACAUAGGUAACAGAACUAUAUUAGUUUUAGGAAAAGAAUUUGGUACAAGCCCAGAAGUGGUGUGGCUGGGCAGGCAUUCAUUUAAAGCCCUUUGUUCAUAGUUCCAAAGUGCCCUCCAGAAUGGUUGCACCAAUUCACAACUCCACUAGCAGUGUAUUUGUGUUCUAAUUGCCACUUAUUACCUCUACUAUUGAAACUAAUUCCUCAUUGGUCUUGUUAUUAAUUCUUCCUAUUUCAUCUUCAUCCUCUAUCACUGUCCAAAUUUCUUGAGUGACUUCUUAAAUGACUUCCUAACCAAGUAAUUUGUAUGCUUAGAAACAUUCAGGGGCUCCCUAUUGUCUCUAGUGCAAAAUGCAAUUUCUUUAGUUUGUCUUUAACAGUUCUCCACAAUGAGGUUCCACCCUAGAUUUCUAUUGGCUUAUUUCAUAGUAUUCCUCUUCACACACUAUACGUUCUAGACAAAUUGCAAAAAUAGUCAUUCUCUGACAUUUCCACUUUGUGGAAAUUAGGUUUGAAGUUCUAGGUGCCUAGAAAUACCAAAGCACCUAGAAAUAUCAUUAGUGUGUUCUAAUUACAGUUUCCAAUGGGUGAUUUAUAAACUGGAGAGUAUUAAAAAAAAAAAACUUUGACAGGUUAUUUAACUCCCUAGGUUAAAGUUUCAUCAUAUUUAAAAUGAAAUUUAAACUGGAUGGCCUCUGAGUUCUAUUCAGCUAUAAAUCUAUGACUUUCUGGUACUAUGAUCCUAAAAUUCAUCAUUCUAUUUCCUAUAUCUCUCUCCUAUUCUAUGUGGUCCAGAAUAAUAAUUCACUUCCCCAUAAAAUCUCAAAACCUCAGCUUCUAUUCAAAGCUCAGCUCAUUUGCCAAAUGUCACACAUUUUAAGUUGUGGCUAUUCUUUCUGUCUCAAAAUUAUAUUCUAUUUGCCUAGAUAGAUUUAUAUUUUAUUUCAUCCAGGACAAUAUAGCAGGAAGUGCAUUGUUUUGUCUCCUAGAAUCCAGAUCAGUGCUUUGAACACACAAUCACAAUAUGUGUUUACUGAGUUAAUUUGAAUUGAGGCUUACCUGCUUUAAAGGUUAGACCUAAAUUCAUUUGGCAAUUUUUUCUAACUCAAAAUGUUUUAUUCCUGUUCCUUCUUACAAAAUAAGAUCAAAAGAAUGGUAUUGAGUAGCCUGAGGUAGAACUGAAAUACUAUCUUUAUAUAGCCCCUUGUAUUUUUUUUCUUUUUUUUUUUUUUGAAAUAACUGAAGCUUAGAAUUCUAACACGAUUGCUCAGCAUGAUAAAGGGGGAGAUUCCAGAUAUUUGACACCCUUUAGGAUAUUGAAAUGAGAUAUACUUUUAUUUUCUUUAGUGAUUACAAUUCAAAUUUGUUUUAUAUAAACUGAAAAUUCUAGUGAUAAAGGAUAAGUCAAAGCUUACAAUAACAUCCUCCCAGCUAGUAUCUUCAUAUUCACCUUCUAUUUUUCAUUCUAUUACUAAAAUUGCUUUCUCUCUUUGUCUUGUUUUGGAAAAACACAUACAUGCAACCAUGACUGACCCCCGCCCCAACUCCAACACAAAUAAACACAUACUGAAAUGAGGCAUAAUACCCACAGGGCAAUUUCAGGAGAUUUUUUAAAAAUAUCAUUAUCACAGAUCAUUGAACAGAAUAUUUUUCCUCUGAUGACAGCAAUUCUAUUCAAGUCGAUGAGCCUGUAUCAAACUGUGAACAUCAUUAUUAUAAAGUUCUUCCUUUCCUUCAUUGCCCUGCUGACAAAAUACCUAUGUACAUAGGAAAGAUGUGAUUUGAAAAGAAAAAAAAAGCAAUGGGUAAUCUUUCUUACCACUUGUAAUUAUAACUCUAGGAUAGUUGCCAUAAUUCUUUUUCUUCAUUUUUAUAAGAAGUUUCUCCAGAAACAGCAGUGUUAUAUGACAUAAUCAACAAAGGUAAGUCAUGAUAAUAGAUUGAAAUACUAAGCUUUCAGUUCUUGGUGUAUAAAAAUAUCAGCACAGAGAAAUAUCAUGACUGUAGUCUAAUUGAUGUUUCCAAAGAGUGAUUUAUAAACUAGCAAGCUUGUAUAUUUAAAAUUUCAAGAUUUUUCAGUUCAGUAAACCUUUAUUAUAUGACUAAAUCAUGGUGUCUUAGAAUUUGAAGUGGCAUAAACCUCAGAAAUCAUCUACCACAACCAUUCAUUUUCCCCAAAACUGAGGCCCACAGAAGUAAAAUAUCUUCCUCAGUGUUGCAUAGGCAAUAAAUAAUAGAACUGAGAUUUGAACUCAGGUCCCUUAUCUUUAAGUUCAGACCCAUUACAAUACACACUCAUUCAAUAUAGAUCAUGAAAAGAGGUGUUAGAAAAAUACAGAAAAAACAACAGUAUGAUUCAGAAGAGGUUAGAAUACACUAUGGAAAUGUAACCAAGGGUCAAGUAAACAUGCUAUAAGGUAGAAAGGGAUAUGAUGAUAUAUAUAUAUAUAUAUAUAUAUAUAUAUAUAUAUAUAUAUAAUAUGACUGUAUUAAGUCAAGACAACAUAGAAGGCAAUUUGAUGGUGAAAAGAUGACAUUCAUCUGAGGGAUAUAAAAUAUUUUAAUUGAACUAUGGUGUAGGAGAACAUUUUUAGUGGAUAGAAAUAUAGAGAGAAUGUGUUUAAAGAAAGGGAAAAAGCUUACUUAAGCACAAAGUGGGAGAGAAGGAGCAUGACGCGAGUCUGGAAAAUGAAGAGAAAAAAUUAUAUUUUGUUCUAGAGACAAUGAGAAAAUAUUUUAGAUUUUAGAAUAGGGAAGUGACUACUUGAUGAAUUGGGAAGAUUUUGUUUCUUCAACAAUUUUUGGUUAUAAAUGGAGCAAAUGCUAAAAUAAAUUGAGUAUUUUCAAAAUAACAAUAGACUGAAUUUGUAUAGUGCUUUAAGGUCUGUAGACUGCUUCACUGAUAUAAUUUCAUAAUCACAUUAGCUGCUAUUAUUAUCCCAAUUUUCUACUUGAAGAAACUGAAUCUGAGAGAUAUUAUGUAAUAUACCAUGGGUCACAUAACUAAGAAUUGUCUCAGACAGGUUUGGAAUCCGGGUCUCCAUAGCUCUAAGUUCAACACUCAAUCAAUUAUAUCACCUAGAUGUCCAAAAUUCAAAGGAGUAUAGGAAAAUAAGCCUGCAAAGUAAAAGGGAUUAUAUCUAUCAAUUAUAGCUCAUUGCUUUUUUUAAGCACAUGAAUCCAAUAUGUGACUAUCAAAGCUGUCCUGUUGAUAUGUGUUUUCCUCUAUUGCAAUGUAUUAUUCUGCUAGAUCGUUAAGGAUGGAUUCUAAUGCAAGAGAAAACUGUUUAAGAACAUAUUAAAAGACCCAAGGUAAAUAGGAACCUAAAACUGGAUGGUUGUAAUGGAAAUAUUGAAAUAUAAUAAAUUUUUUUAUACUGUGAAGGGUUAUUGCUAUAUACACACACACAUAAAGAGACUGGAGACAUUGCCAUUGUCAAGUUUCUGCCUUGUGAAUGUAUUACCUGAGGAAAAAUUCUAUCAUUUUGUGUGCCGGCUGAUGUGUUUCUGUUUUUUUAUCUUAAUAAAUUUGGCAUUGCUUUUAAAAAUUUUUAUAUAGAUUUGUUAUAGGUAUAGAAUUGCUGUCCUUAGCAACUGAAUAUGGAGCACGAGAAAUACAGAAAUGUCAGAAAUGGCCUAUGUCUGAACACCUGAGUGAUUGGGAGGAUUGUUGUGCCAUUAGUAGAAACUGAGAAGUUAGGAGACAGAACAGAGAAUUUUUUAGGGGGAAAUUUGGGCCAAUAUUUAAUAUGAAGGACUGUAGGGACUUCCAAAUGGUAGGCAAGUACCUGGAAUUGGAAGAAUGGAUCUCAAAAAUUAAAUAAGGACUGAAUAUAUAGAUUUAAGAAUGUUUCAUUAGAGGCAGUAACUGAAGUCAUAUGACUAGAUAAGAAUACCAGAAGAGAAAAUAUAGAAGAGAAUAGAAAAAGCCUAAAUAUAGUCUUGGAGCUCAACCACACUUAGAGGAAAGAAAGGUAGAGGAAAAGAAGUGGCAAAGGAAUUCAUGAAGAAACAAUUCAAUUUGGACAAGAUCUGCAACAGUGAUCAGUAAUUAUUUUAAAGGAAUGAAUUUACAGAUUUUGAUAAUUAUGAAUAUGAAAUUAAUACUAGGCUUCUUGUAAUAUUUUAACCAAUUCCCUGAAAGUAAAUAUAAAAUACAUAUGGCAUCAUAAAAGUACACAUAUGUUAUAUGAUCUGUGGUCCAGAACCAAAGUAUGAAUUUAAAUGGAGUAGGUUCAGAAUUGGAGAGUUUAUUCUUUAAAAAAAUUUUUUUCUUAAUCUCUUUUGUACCCAAGGUGUGUCAUCAAAGAUAUCAAGAUUUAUUUAAUUUGAGGAUUAUUUGUAAUGACACAAAAGGGGUUCAGUCUGAUGAAAGUACUGAGUAUGACAAAUGGUUUUUAGUCAAUCUGAAAUAAAACAAAGAGGUAAAACUUCAGGCCAAUAACAGGUUCAUUGUGUCUCUCCGAAAAGCUGGGUUGUUAGAUUUUCUUCAUAAUCUAAAACCAUUGAAUGUGAGUUUUCUCCAAGUUUUAUACCCUAACAUUAUAUUAUUUAAGAUCAUACCUCAAUAUUCAACCAUCAAUCCUACAUCUCAAUAGGCAGAAGAUUCAUUUAGAAUGGGUGGAAAGAAGGUACCUUUAGGAUGAAUGGGUGGGAGGUAUAUUUUUCUAGCAAUGAUUGAGUGCUGCCUUUCAUUGGGUUUUGCUUGGUUCGAGUGAUGCUCAAGCUGAUAUACUACGUCACUCCUUCAUGAUCAUGAGAAGUCCAAAGACAUUUUCCCUCCUCAGGAUGUGUCCUAUAUGGCCAUAUUGAAGGCGCCCACCAGUCAUCAUCCUGACAUGCUUUAUGUGAUUGAUAGAGUUACAGUGAAAAGAGGAAGUAACUAGACUUACUGCAUAGUUAGAAUUUUUUCUUUAUAAAAUAUGACUAGAUUUUAAUUAAUCUUACUAUAAUUCCGUUAAUCAGCAAUUAACCAUUGUCCCAGAUUAAUCAUCUGUAGUGGCUAAAUCCAUUGUGAUCCAUUGUGAUAAUUGGGAUCUUUUUUGAAAAGAGUCAGGGAGUUAGGGAUUCUCAUCCUCUUCAUAAAUAAAAUAUGGGACCCACUUAAUUUCACUAAAAAGGAAAAAAAAUAAAUGGAUUUCAUUUCAGUACAGAAAUGUUUACAAAGCACAUAUAAAUGAAUUUAGAUUCCUAGUACAAUUAUGGGUGAACCUAUCUUCAAGGAGAAGGCAUUCAGUGUUAAGGAUAUAAACAAUUAACUCCUUUUGUGAACUUUACUUCCUGGGAACCUAUCUAGUUCCUCAAAUUUUAUAUUACCCAAGACUGCUACAGUCAAUCCCCACUCUUGCUUCUACCUCCCCACUCCACACAAAAGCAAGUGAUCUCUUAGGAUUGCUAGAAAAUAAAUUGUCUUUCUCUGACCUAUGCAAAGUAGGGAAAGGAAUAUGUUUUAUUCUGUUUCAACAUCAUAGCUCUGUUGAUUAUUUCUCCUCAAUUUUAUCACCAUUUUAUUUGGGAGUACUUCUGUUGGGCCAAAGAUUUCUCCUCUUGCUCCACCAUUGGAAUUCUAAUCUUACCAUCAGUUUCUUUUUUUUUUUUUAAUUUUAUAAUAUUUUAUUUGAUCAUUUCCGAGCAUUAUUCAUUAAAGACAAAGAUCAUUUUCUUUUCCUCCCCCCCCCACAUAGCCAACGCGUGAUUCCACUGGGUAUCACAUGUAUUCUUGAUUCGAACCCAUUGCCAUGUUGUUAAUAUUUGCAUUAGAGUUUCGUUUAGAGUCUCUCCUCUGUCAUGUCCCCUCAACCGCUGUAGUCAUGCAGUUGCUUUUCCUUGGUGUUUCUAGACCCACAGUUUAUCCUCUGCUUAUGAAUAGUGUUUUUUCUCCUAGAUCCCUGCAGAUUGUUCAGGGACAUUACACCGCCCCUAAUGGAGAAGUCCAUCAUAGAUUUCCUGAGUGGGGAGGAUUAGCUUUCCUUAUCUCUGUCUGGGGUUCAGAGGUUUUAGCCCCAGGCAGAUUGUCCUUUCUAUGAAGUUGUUGUUCUGUCUUCCUGGGGAAGCCAGGAAUUGCUGGUGUGUCCCUGUUACUGUUCUCCUUGGUUCCCUCCCAAUGUUUCUCCGUUGCCUUACUUCCACGCUCUAAGCCUGGCUUGGCUCUUGUUUCUGUGCCUUAGCCAGCCAGAUGAGCCUGCUCUCUGAGGGAAAGGGGCCCUGGUUUCCCGGAGCUUCGAGGGCUCCUGAUUAAGAUUAGUUUUCCCUGGGUUGAAUUGAGUGUGCCCUGAGGCAGGGACCUGAGACUCCAAUGGAGGGAUCCAGCCAGGGGGUUACAAGCUCCCCCCUCUCUCUCUCUGUUUCCCUGCUUUCUGGGUGCCCCCUCGACUGGGUCAGGUUGUUUUCAGGAAGCGGCCUUCAGAAUAGCCGGCCCUGGGGUCCUUUUGCUGGCUCUUAAGUUCCCACUGCUGCCUCG